ACGCUGGCGGCAGGCCUAACACAUGCAAGUCGAGCGGUAGAGAGAAGCUUGCUUCUCUUGAGAGCGGCGGACGGGUGAGUAAUGCCUAGGAAUCUGCCUGGUAGUGGGGGAUAACGUUCGGAAACGGACGCUAAUACCGCAUACGUCCUACGGGAGAAAGCAGGGGACCUUCGGGCCUUGCGCUAUCAGAUGAGCCUAGGUCGGAUUAGCUAGUUGGUGAGGUAAUGGCUCACCAAGGCGACGAUCCGUAACUGGUCUGAGAGGAUGAUCAGUCACACUGGAACUGAGACACGGUCCAGACUCCUACGGGAGGCAGCAGUGGGGAAUAUUGGACAAUGGGCGAAAGCCUGAUCCAGCCAUGCCGCGUGUGUGAAGAAGGUCUUCGGAUUGUAAAGCACUUUAAGUUGGGAGGAAGGCCAUUAACCUAAUACGUUAGUGUUUUGACGUUACCGACAGAAUAAGCACCGGCUAACUCUGUGCCAGCAGCCGCGGUAAUACAGAGGGUGCAAGCGUUAAUCGGAAUUACUGGGCGUAAAGCGCGCGCAGGUGGUUUGUUAAGUUGGAUGUGAAAUCCCCGGGCUCAACCUGGGAACUGCAUUCAAAACUGACUGACUAGAGUAUGGUAGAGGGUGGUGGAAUUUCCUGUGUAGCGGUGAAAUGCGUAGAUAUAGGAAGGGACACCAGUGGCGAAGGCGACCACCUGGACUAAUACUGACACUGAGGUGCGAAAGCGUGGGGAGCAAAC
rnacentral:rRNA from 1 species